ACCAUUUAUGUUAACCUGAUAUGCUGUAUCUGUACAGGGAAAACGUUGCACAUUGGGUUCAUGCACUUAGGAAGCUGCCACGGGAAGAGCCAGUGAUCAAACACUCAAAAUUUGUAGAUGUGCGGCAGAGGGCUGAAAGCGGCAUUGAAGAUGUCCUUUACUUUGUUGAAAGAUGUAUAUGAACUGCUGCUGGUUAAAGACAAUAUACCUAUAACUAAACCACCCAUCUCCUCCCAUACCAUGGGCCAGAGGAGCAUGACCACCUGGGUGAGGAGUUUUUAAAUGAUCAGACAAUGCCAACAACCUCCCUUCAGGAAGAAACGGAUAUGGAAAGCUUCUGGGCUGGAAUGGCAACCCGGAAACAUAAAGUGACAGGAGCCAAAGAAUUUCAGAGGCUUGCUGCCGUCGCCAAGCUGGUCCUGGUGUUGCCCCAUUCAGAUGCUGAUGCUGAGAGGGUGUUUUCAGUUGUGGGACUGAAUAAAACAAAAACCAGAAAUAGCCUGGCAUUGGAUGGCACCCUGUCCUCCAUCAUGGCCAUAAAGAUGGCCGACCAGGAGCCCUGCUUCAGAUGGGAGCCCCCUCAGCGGUCAUCAAGGCCUCCAAGAAGGCCACAGGCCAGUACAACCUUGCCCAUAAAUCUUAAAAAAUUACCAACCAUCUUCUGCUCUCCUUCUUAAUACCUCAUUUUUUGUUAUUUUAUUUAUGUGUAUUUAUAUUAUGUGUAUCCAUAGUUUUGCUUUGAAAGGCUACAGUUUAAGCACUUUAUUUGUUGCACUUUUUUGUUUGAUAAUGAAAUAUUUUUCCCUAACUAAACCUGUCAUUUUUUGCUGAACAUAAAUCAUUAAGUGCUCUUAAGAAUACAAAGAUUAACAGUAUAGGUGAGGUUUCAGUUAAGAAUUAGUUGAAUACCAUUGUAAUCCAAAUGUCAAUCAACCUAAAUUGGUCAAAUCUUAAACGCAGGUCUAUUAAUUAGGCUAUAUUGUGGUACAUAGACAGUCAUUGAGGCACAGCAAUAGUUUUCUGGUUGAAUGUUCAGCUCAAGUCUAGAAGGCCCCACAAGUCAUGAGCAGAUGAACAUGAAUCAGAAUAAGUUCAGGCAGACCACCCAAAAAUCCACUGGAAUGCAUGAAAUAACAUCUACUUAAACCAACAUGUCCUGGGGGUGGACCAUCAGCUGUGUCUGCUUCACAGAAUGUAACCAAUGUUGUCCAUCUCCAGCAGGCCGCCCCUAUCAACGACUUUGGGCCCCACAAACCACCAGAAUGCAGGGUACAACAUGG
ensembl:lncRNA